CUACCUCCUGUCGGCUGCCACCGGGCGCAUAGUGAGCUCACUGCUGCUGGAGCCGGAGGACUGCGCGGCAGCCGUGGCCUACUGCCUGCCGCGCGAGGCGCUGUGGCUGCUGACCAGGGCUGGGCACCUGGUCCGCGCCAACGCGGCGCGCUGCCCCAUGAGCGUGCUGCACCGCGUGUGCCCGCCGCCGCCCCCUGCGCCGCAGCCUUGCUGUCUGCACCUGUACAGCCACCUCACGGAUCUCGGAGGCGCCUUCUCCUCCUGGGAGAUCGUGCGCCAGCACUGGGGCGAGUUGCGCUGCAGCUCUGUGGCCUGCGCCUGGAAGAACAAGAACCGGUGGGUGCGGGAGCCGGCGAGGGUCUGGCGGGCGGAAGGAGCGGCAGGGUCCGCGCCAACAGGCUCUUCCCACUCGCAGGUACCUGCCAGUGGUGGGGCACACGGACGGCACGCUGUCGGUGCUGGAGUGGCUCUCGUCGAAGACUGUCUUCCAAACGGAGGCGCACAGCCCGGGCCCGGUUGUCGCCAUCGCAUCCACCUGGAACAGCAUUGUGUCUUCGGGUCAGUAGCUCCCCUGCCAAAGGCCAGGCCGCCACAGAGCCCCCUCCCCUCCGACAAGGCCCAGCCAGAUUCCGCUGCCCACAGGUGGGGACCUGACGGUGAAGAUGUGGCGCGUCUUCCCCUAUGCCGAGGAGAGCCUGAGCCUGCUGCGCACCUUCUCCUGCUGCUACCCGGCCGUGGCGCUCUGUGUGCUAGGCAGACGCGUCACCGCGGGCUUUGAGGACCCAGACAGCGCUACCUACGGCCUGGUGCAGUUUGGCCUGGGCGACAGUCCGCGAUUAGACCACCGGCCCCAGGACGACCCCACGGACCACAUCACUGGUGAGGGGGCAGCACGGGUGAAGCCCAGCCACCGCCCAGCUCCGGUUCCUGACCCUGAACCCUGCCGCCAGGCCUGUGCUGCUGCCCCACGCUCAAACUGUAUGCCUGCUCCAGCCUGGACUGCACCGUUCGCAUCUGGACUGCUGAGAACCGCCUCCUGCGGCUCCUGCAGCUGAAUGGUGCCCCUCAGGCCCUGGCUUUCUGCAGCAACAGUGGAGACCUGGUGCUGGCGCUGGGAUCCCGCCUCUGCCUGGUGUCCCACAGGGUCUACCUGCCUACAUCCUACCUAGUUAAGAAGAUGUGCCAGAAGGCCCCAGACGUGGUGGACGACCCUCCGCUGCCACUGAUGAGCCAGGAGUCACUGACUUCCGCCCAACUGCAGAGGCUCACCAACCUCCAUGGGGCAGCCAGCCUCAGGUCCCAUGCAGGCCUGCUCAGCCCUCCUGGAGGCCCUCCUUUCCCACUCUGGGUGGGGGCCUGGCGGUGUGGGGCCCUCUGGAGUUGAUACAAGCCUGCCUGAGCCCUGGCACACCCGUUUGGGGUUGGUCCUUGUCCCAGCCUCUGCCCCAGCCCACUGGCAUGCCACCCAGCAUCCCACCUGUGCCUGUCCCUGUUUGCAGCGAGGCCUUGUCUCUCAUCCAUCGUCGGAGGGCAACAUCUCAGCACCUGGUGCCGAAGGAGGUGGGGUGGGUCCUCCUUAGCCCGCCCUGCCCCGGCUCAGGCCCCAGCCCUCAGCCCCGGGGCAGGCCUGGGAUCCCCGUGGUUGCCCGGGCAGCACACAGCAAGGCUCAAGGAAGAGCAGGCUGAUCCCUGAACCCUGACUCAGGACUUGGACGCCCUAGUGGCCCGGGACCGAGACCUUCAGCAGUUGAGGCUGGGGCUAGUGGUCCCAGCAGCCCAGCCCCCACCCUCCCGGCAGCAGCGCCAGGAAGGCUUUGACAAUUACCUCCGUCUGAUCUACCGCUCUGGCCUGCUGGGCAUGCAGUCUGGAAGGGAGUCCCAGCAGUGGAGUGCCGGGACCCUCACAGUGGAGAGAGAGACCCGGGAUGCGUGUGCUCUACCCCAAGCUGCCCACUGUCUUGCCCGGGCUGAGGUCAGCACCGCAGCCCAAACAGUGCCAACAGCCCUGUCCCCACAGGACCUGGGAGCCCUGGGCCAGCACUUCUCCCAGUCUCCCCGAGUCACAGUGCCGAUCCCACCCACCCACCGUAGGGUGCACAGCAAGGCAUCCCAGAUCCCACUGCUGCCAAAGAGAUGGGACAAGGAACCUCUCUCUAGCCUCAGGGGCUUCUUUCCUGCCACCGUGCAGCCCCACAAGCACUGCCUGAGGCCCAUCUGCUUCCCCGGCUAUGUACCCAACUCCGCGGUGCUACAGCAGAUGUGGCUAAAUGCGGAGGUCAGCAGCCUCGGAUCCCCGACUCAGCUCGCCUCCCAGAGAAAGUUCGAGGCAAGGGGCAGGGCUGGGGGUUUUGCCGGCAGGGGAGGGCUCUGCUGUCCUUGCAACCCAUCAGGCACCAUCUCUUGCCCCUCUGCAGCCAGGGGCAAGCCAGGAUGCCCUGUGGUUGUGGCGCCCCAGGCCAUCCCAAGCCCAGUGGCAGAGGAAGCUGCUCCAGUGCAUGGGGGAGAAGCCUGGGGAGGAGGGGGAGGAAGACGAGAAGGAAGAGGAGGAGGAGAAGGAAGACGAGGAGCUGGACCAGGCCUUGGCUUCCCUGAGCCCGCACUCCAACCAGCAGCUGGAUUCCUGGGAACUGGAGGAUCAGAGUGCUGUGGACUGGACCCAGGAGCCCCGGCGGCGCAGCUGCAAGGCUGCCAGGACCCACCCUCAUCCCUGGCACCGUCAUGGGAGUUUGCUCUUGGAUGAGCAUUACGGGCAUCUUCCCAAGUUUCUGCAUUUCUUCAUCUACCAGACCUGGUUCAAAAAGUUGUUCCCCAUCUUCAGCCUGCAGGUUGGAGGGAACUGGGGAUGCAUGAGAAGCAUGGGUUAGGGUGAGGGACAGGGGAGAAGAUAGGGGCUGGCUUGGGUGUGAUAUGGGAGCAGGGCCUCAGCAUGCUACCCUGCAGGCAUACCCGGAGGCAGGCACGGUCGAGGGCCUGGCCUCGCUGUUGGUGGCCCUGCUGGAGAAGACCACGUGGGUCGACCGUGUGCACAUCCUGCAGGUGCUACUGAGACUGCUGCCCAACAUGAGCAGUGAUCUCCAAGGCCAGCUGCAGGGCCUGCUCAUACACUUGCUCAACCUGGACCAGCCCCCCAGCCUCCAGGUGUGCCCCUUGUCCUGCCCCCAGUUUUCCUCCCCGCCCACCGGCCCUCAGCAACCACAUCCCCACCGCCUGCCUCAGGACCAGACGCAGAAGAAGUUCGUGAUACUGGCGCUGCAGCUGCUCCUGGCCUGCUCCCUGGAGUCCCGGGAUGUGGUGCUGGAGCUCAUGUCCUACUUCCUCUACUCUCCCGUGCACUGCCGGUGAGUUGCGCUCCUGCCCAGCCCUCCCUGCCACUGGGAAGGCCUCUGGACAAGCCACAUGCACCUGUCCCAGGCCAGAGCUCAAGAAGCUGCUGCACGGGCUGGGCCUUCGGGACCCAGAGGGCUUCCUAUUCAAGGAGAUGAUGACCUGGGUCCAGGGCCCAGACCUGGACUCCAAGGCCGGCCUGCGCACUUGCUGCCACCAGAAACUGGAGGACAUGAUCCAGCAGCUUCAGGAGACCCCAUCGCAGACGUCAGUGGUCUCUGGGGCACCCACACGCGCCUCCGUGAUACCCUCGGGCACCUCCUGGUCGCCCUCCAGCAUCUUCGGGAGGCUCUCACAGGUCUCAGAGGUGCCUUUGAUGGUGGUCUCACCUGCGGAGCCGCACUCUUUAGCCCCGGAGCUCCAGGCCCAGCGGACGCUGGCACCCACGCGCAGCUGGGGGACCCCUCAGCUCCGUCUCGGAGUGCUCUCCGAGACGCUGAAGAGCUUUUGCCUGGAGCCCGAGGCCCGCCUGCACCCUGCCGGGCCUGCUCAGCUGCCCGGAGAGCCGCCGCCGCUGGAGGAGACCGACUGGUCGCACUCGCAGCUGCUGGACUUGGGCCCCAUCGACGCGCUCAACUUCUUCUGUGAGCAGCUGCGGGCGCAGCAGCGGAGUUCGCUCCAGGAGAAGGCUGCGCACCCACACCCGCCAGUGCCCGACACGGUGGCGCCGGUGCCCGACAUGGUGGUGCCACCUCCACAGGAGCACUGGUGCCACCCCAUCCUCCGGCUGCAGGAGGCCAAGCCGCAGAGGUCUGCGAGGUCCGCGAUGAGACUGAGGGGUGAGUGGAGCCAGGGGUGGAGACUGGACCCCACCCCACCCCAGCCCCCGGGCCUCAUAAGCCUCCGCCCGCCCCCAGGCCCCAUGCUGUCCCGGCUCUGUGCGGGCCGCACCCUGGACGGCCGCAUCCGGACGCUGAAGCUGCCGCUGCCGCGUGUGGAGCCGCAGCCUUUCCCCCUGGACUGGCCCACGCCUCCGCGCCCGCUGCCCCCGCGGCUCCUGCAGCCGGCCCUGCAGCGCUACUUUCUGCCAGCGGACGCGGACCCUGACACCUACAGCUGACCGGGCUGGUGGCCUCAGCCCGCCUGGCUCUGGGGCCUGUCAUUGGUAUUUGGCCAAGGCCUGCAUCGGGAAUAAAGUCCAGAGAAUUUCUUUCUGC
rnacentral:sRNA from 1 species